GCUUGUAGUCCCAGCUAAGCUGGAGGCUGAGGUGGGAGGAUCUCUUGAGGCCAGGAGGUCAUGGCUGCAGUGAGUUAUGAUCACGCUACACUACACUGCAGCUAAAGUGAGUUUAUAGCUUGAAGGUUACACAUACACAAUAUUAGUAAGAUUUUAAAAAUUAAUACUUAAAUUAGUAUUUUUGCAUGAUAAUUUGCUUUUGGGAAUCUAUUCUGAGGACAUGACUAAAAAUGUAGAUAAAGGUUAAUCUUCAAGUUUAUUCAUCCCAUUAUCACUGUGAAAAACUGGAAACAUAAUUUACAAAUGAUUAAAUAGAUUAUAGUAUUAUGUAGUAUAGUAUUUUUCAUUAUUUCUGUAUUAUGUCGGCACUUAAAUGCCUUAAAGAAUUUAAAUGAUAUAUAAAAAUGUAGUUUACAAAUGGCUCAAUGGAUUCUAGUAUUAUUUCUAUAUUGUGUACCCACUAAAAUGAUUUGAAGAAUUUGAAGAAUCUUUAAUUGCAUGGAAGAAAUGCUAGCAACAUAAUUAAGUGAAGGAAAAACCCAGAGUAUCUACAGAUUAUCUUAAUUAUGUUUUAAAAAAUAAAUCACAAAAUACAUAUAUAUCUAUAUACCAUGCAUGCUUGCCAAAAAAUUUUAAAAAGCUAGAUGUAUCCCAGAAUGCUAACUGAAGCUAUCUCUGGGUGGUGAAAUUGUAAGUAAUUUUUAACUUCUUUAUAAUUGUAUGUAAUUUUAUUGAUAUUCUUGUGUUAACGUAAAUCUCUUCUUUAACCAAAUUAAUUUAGGACUAAUAAGUCAAGUGAGUUGUAUUUGGACCCAGAUCUUUGGCAAAGCUGUUCAUACAGGGUAGGCAGCUCUGAGAUUAUAAAUUUUCUACCAGUGACUGUUGAGACAGCAGCUUGAAAGAUAUUUAGAUAAGGAUAAUCUGAAGGGAGUGACUGAUUCUUCCACCUUCAUGAUUCUGUGUUUUUUUUUUUUAUUUUUUUUUUUUGGUAAGUCAUAUAUAUGCAUGACGUGACAGGUACACUUGCAUAGCUCUCAAUAUUGUAAAGUAGUUUUACUUUCCAUGGGAGAUCCUGGGAGGUAAAAUUAAAUGUAGUUACUGUUUUGAAGAAGAGCUAUUUGAUGACAGUUGGUGAAGAGAUCUUUAACAAUGGCACUCACUGGUGGAAGGAAGAGAGAGAAACUUAGAAGUUAGGUCCUAGGAACUGAUUUGCUUUGGGAGGUAAAAAGUAUUCCUACUUUUUUAAUUUGGAAAGACCAGGUAGAUGAUGAAGCUAGUAACAAAAUUGCAAAUAGGAAGAAGAGGCAGGUUUGUUCUUCUUUUAUUCUUUCAAAAACAAAUGUGUGUAUUUGUAGAGGGGAGUUCAUAAGUUUACUUUGAAUAUGUAGAGUUCAAGUGUCUGAAUGUCCAGGUGAAGAUGUCCAGUAGGAAGACUAGCACUAAUGAUAUAUUCUGACCUUUAGUACAAGGAUUUUCAAACAUUUUGCUCACAUAUGCCUUCAAAGAACUGGAAAAACAAAGAACUAUGUACCUUCUCCCACAUCUUGAGUUUUUCAUCUGAGUUUUAAUAUCUGUAAAUGAUGUAAUUUCUAGUGCUGGUGUUCAAAUCACAAUUUUAAAUGUGUAUGAGGGGAUUUUUAACAAUUCAUUAAAAAAUAUAUGAACAGACUUAAUUUUAACAGAAUUUUUUAUUGUCUUUUUUUCUCUUUGAACUCUAUUUUUGUUUUACUUUCUCUACCUAUUAUCCUAAUGUAUACUUUUAUGCUGGAAAGCAUUUUUAUCAAAAAUCAUGUUGUAUUUUCUCUCAUUUUUGUUUUACUUUCUUUACAUAUUAUCCUAAUAUAUUCUUUUAUGCUAGAAAGCAUUUUUAUCCGUUAUGUGAUAUUUUUCUGCAACAAAAGGAAAUUCAUUCAUGAAUUUAGUAGAGGGGAAUAAAAAGUGCUUUAUUUUAAUGGUCCCUCAGUUUUGAGUUCUAUGGACAGUUAUAAUACAAAAAUAGGAAAAUUGUGUAUGUCCAUAAUGCUCUGUGUCAAAUUUAUUUUGGACUGAGUUAUCACUUCAGUCAUAGCCAGUAGACAAUCAAAACAACACAUGUUAAUUACAAAUUUUAAUAAGUAUUAAAGUAAAAUUUUGUCAGAAAUGCGUUUUCAGUGGGAUAGAUGGGGCUGAUUUAUUUCAAUUAGUUUAUCCAUUUAUAAAUAUUAUUAGAAAAGAUGGGGUUCUGCUUGAUUCUGUUCCUUUUUUACUUUAAUAUUUGAAAGUAUUGAGAAACCUCACUUAUGAAUUUAGUAGAUGGUUAUUAAAAAGUGCUUUAUAUUGCUUUGUAUUAGUAGUAUCACCCAUUCUUCUAGGUUGUAUGCAUAAAACGAAAUAAUCCAUAAUCAAAUUAUUUUUAAUACUUAUAUCAGGUAGCAACUGGGUUUGAUUCUCCUUUCAUUUUCAUGGAAGUGGUGACACCUUGAUUUGAAAAAGAACCCUGAACUUAAAAUAAAUGUUAAAAAAAAAAAAAAAAGAAAAAAAAAAGGUGUCAGUGUUUUUAGAGUAAUUAACUUUCUCAACAUGAAUAUAUUGAAAUGCCGUUUUGGCCACCUGGAUGUUUUUAGCCCAAAGACAGUACUCCACAGCAAGUUUCAGAAAGUGUGAGAGUUACAGUUUUCUUUUAUGAAGUGGCAGAGGGGAAAGAGGUAAAGGGAAAGAGGAAGUGGAAGUAAAGGAAAACAGACUUGCUGUGUCAGCAGAAUGGUUCUAGAAAACUGUACAGAUGGAAAUUGAGAAUAUAAUCAUCAGUUCUCUUGAAACUCUCCAUGCUCGUACACUUCCAGGGGUAUGCAUGACCCAAUUUGUAGACUGCUGGUUUACUGUAUUCUCUUUGUUACUUGUUGCUACCUUGUUGCUGUAUUUUACUGCUCUCCAUAGCUAUUCAGAAAUAAUACCUUAUACAUCUGUUAUUUUUUUUCUAGGGUUUUGAUUGCUACUAGUUCUGGGUUUCCAUACUUCAGCACUCUAUGGAAUCAGAAUGUCAGUGCUUAAAAGGGACUUUAUAAAUAAUUCCAUUCUCAACAUUUCAGAAAUUUAGCGGCUGAGGCUCAGAAGAUGAAGUGAUUUGCCCCAGAUCACACAAAGAGUACCUUCAUAUUGGUGAAGACUGACAAAAUCCACUGUUGGGAAGGAUAUAAGAAAAUGAGUAAUUUUACAUGCGGAGUUGGAGUAUCAUUGGAGUCAACCUUUUGAGAGGACAGAAGGUCUAGCUAUGCAAAUGAAAAUUUUAAAUUAGAAUAUUGCCCUUUCUGCAGACCUGGAAUUUGUCCAAAGGGGCAAUUGCAAACCUUUGCUAAGAUAUAUGUAUACAGAUUUUUGGUAACAAUUUGCAACAUUGGUAAUGAUAGAUAUUUUAAUUCAUUUCAGUGCUUCUCUGGGGGGGGAUGGGAUAAAUUAUGGGUAUUUUAAUUCAACAGAAAACUCUGUAUCCAAUAAAAUAAUGCCAAAUAGCCAUAUUUGUCAUAGAAAGAUAGACAUAACAAUUUUGGGGGAAAAAACUAGUUGCCAAAUGGCAUGCCUGUCAAUCUAACAGACAUGCCAUUUAAUGCAGCUUUCUACAUCUGUAUUUUUGGAUAAAAUCAUGUAAGAUACUAUAUAUCAAUGUGUGAAAACAUCCAAAUCUGGAAGGUUAUUCGGUAUAAUGUUAACGGUGGCUAUCUUUGGGUAGUGAGAUUCCUGAUAAUUUUUACCAUUUUCGUACUUCUGUGAUUUUUUUUUAAAACAAUGAAAAUAUACCCAUUUCAGAAAUCAACAAAGCUAUUUUUUGAAAUCUUCCCAUUAAAAAAGUAACGUCUGUUAGUCAGAAUAUCAUAUAAGUGGAAUUUUUAAAUUAUGAAGAGACUGAGGUCUAGUUAGUUAAUAGUUUAAAUAAGUUACAAGUAUGUGAGUUGGAAGUGGGUUUUCACUGCCAUAUCCCUGUAUGCCUGGCAUGUAGGUGUUCAGAGGGUAUAGUCUGUUAAAAUGAAAGUAGAGUCAUGUGUCUCUUAACGAUGAGGAUACAUACUGAGAAAUGCGUCAUUAGGCGAUUUCAUCGUUGUGUGAACAUCAUAUUUACACAAAUCUAGAUAGCAGAGCCUACCACACACCUAGGCUGUGUGGUGUAGCCUAUUGCUUCUAGGCUACAAACCUGUACCGCAUGUUACUGUGCUAGAUAUGUAGGAAGUUGUAACACAAUGGUAAGUAUUUGUGCAUUUCAACAUAGAAAAGAUAAAGUAAAAAUACAGUAUUAUAAAUUUAUGGGUCCACUGUUAUACAUGCUAUUCAUUAUUGAACAAAAUGUGGUUAUUUGGCACAUGACUAUAUAGGGUUAUAAUGUUUGGAGGAAUACGCUGCAUUCUUAAUGAAAAAUGAAGAAAAUUAAAGUAAGUGUUACAGUGAAUAGUUUACAAAAAACAUUCUACCUACUUCAAAGCUAAGAAAGUAAACUUUCUGCUAUCAUUUAAAUUAACUAAAAUAUUUGAGGGUCUCUAUAUGCCUGAUAUAUUUGUAAAAUCUAUAAUGUUAUUAAGAAAAAUUAUGACUUAAGAUCAUAGAAUAUUACUAUUAGAAGGUACUGUAAAGUUCCCAUAACAUAUAGAUCAGUAAGCUGAAACUAGAGAGGUUAAAGGACACACACAGUCAUUACAGAAAUCUCUUCUGUUGCAUGUUCCUGAUUUUGACUAUUUAGCUUUAUGGAACACUUUUGGAAUGGGCAGAUUACCACUUUAUAAGGCAAUGCAUUGUGUUUAAUGGUGUAGUGGGGUUGAAUAGUAUUUAUCAACAAUUCUUGUUCACCAGGAAUCUCAGAAUGUGACCUUAUUUGGAGUAUGAGUCUUUGCAAAUGUAGUUAAGAUGAGAAUAUAUGGGAUUAGGACAGGCCCUGAAUUCAAUGAGUGGUAUCUCUGGAGUCCCAGAAACUCAGAUACACUCAAGGAAGAAAAUCAUGUGAAGAUGGAGGCAGAGAUUGGAGUGAUGCAGCCACCAGCCAAGAACACCAAGGAUUGCUGGGAGACAUCAGAAACUAGAAAGGGGCAAGGACGAUUCUCCUCUAAAGCCUUCAAAGGGAGCAUGGUCCUGCUGACUCCUUGAUUUUGGACCUUCAGCCUUCAGAACUAUGGGAGAAUAUAUUUCUGUUGUUUUAAACCACCUGAUUUAUGGUACUGUGUUACAGCCCUAGGAAACUAUUACAGAUGGUUUUGAUUAUUUCAAAUUUAUUUGUUCAUUUUUUCAGUCAGAUUUAUUGAGCACUUAUUAUAUGCCAGGCACUCUGCUAGGCAUUACAGAGAUAAAGAAGACAUUGUUUCUGCCUUCGUUCUUGGAAUUUGACCCACUAGAAAAAGUAGCUUUGUAAAUAGAUAAUUACAAUACAUUUUGAUACAUGUUCUCACUAGAAUGGUAUAUGAAGUUAAGUGAUGGCACCUGAAGGUAGGAGAACCUGGAAAGUUUUUACGAAGUGAUAUCUUUGUGUUUGGUUUCAAAGAUAGAGUUGAAAUCAGUCUCCAUGGGAAUUCUGUUUUAUUCUGCCACUGCAGUGCCAUCAGUCCUACCUAGUUCAAAGCGUAUUUAGCCGGCUGCAGUAGCCUCCUGUCACUAGAAUUCUGCCUCCACUGUUUGGUUGAAGUAAUUUUUAAGAUGCAGUAAGAUUGUGUCAGUCUAUUGAAAACAUCAGCAUGUUCUCAACACAGUAAAACACAAUUCCAACUCCUUUUCAUGAUAUGGCCCCACAUGAUCUGGUUCCUGCUACCUCUUCAAUCUCUUCUCCUUUCACAGUGGUCUCCCUGCUGUUUGUGAACAUGCCAGCUUUGUUCUCGUCUUUGUCUUUGCCCUGGCUGUUUUCUCAGACUCAAGCUCUUCCCAUAGCUCCAUGUCAUUCAAGUAUCAGCUCAGUCUUUGCAGAGGAGCCUUCAUUGGCCAUCCCCUUCAAAAUAGCUCCCAUCCCCAUCUAUCCCGUUACCUGUUACACUUUAUUUAUGACACACCUCACUAAUUUGAUUUGUAUGUCUCUGCCUGGCCUUCACCUCCACCUCACCCCCUACCUUCACCGCCAUUGAAUAUAUGGUCAGCAGACAGGAAUCCUAUUUACCCUAUUAACUGCUCUGUCCCUAGUGUAUAUCACAUAGUAAGUGUUCUUUACAAAAGAAUGAAGAAAAACUUACUCAUUUAGUCUCAUGCUUACCAUGUCAGAACAUAUGUCACCAUAACUUUCCUCUGGAUGAAUCCCAAAUUGUAUUCUUCCCACCUACCACCUCCAAGAUUCCACCUUCAUCUUUAUACCCUUUCUGAAUUGCCCUUUGUAAUAUUGGAACUAUCUUAAUCUCUAAAUAUAUAAAUAUAAUAUAUGCAAGUCUUAUUUAAGAAUACAUUGAAGUUUAGAACAGUAAGGUACCCAAAGUAACACAGCUAUAAGUGGUAUUUCUAGGAUUUAAACUUAGAUCUGUCUCUAACUAAAGCUCCUCUGCUGUGCUGUUGUGGAGGCUGAUGUUCUUGGUAAGUGGGAGGUAUAAAUCCAGAAUUAGAAUAGGAGCCCAGUCCGUUGGAAUAGAAAUAGCAAACAUUCAUUAUUUGUUUCUAUAAGAAGAACUGGGUGAUAUUUGUUAAAAGAACCUUUAAAAAGUAACUUGAAUUUUUUUUUGGACUAAAGUUAAUGUAUGGUUGUUAUAAAAUACAUGGAAUAUAUGGAAUAUAUGAAAAAAUACAAAGAAGAAAGUAAAGACCAUCCAUAAUUGUUCCACUGAGAGAUAACCACUCUUAACAUUUUAGAAUAUUUUAAUCAAGUAUUUUUUGUGCAGAAAUAUUGUGAUGAUUUUUAUGCAUAAAUCUUGAAUUUUGAAAUCAUUUCCUAAUGUAAUUACUAGAUCAAAACAUAUUGUCAAAUUUGUUUCCAGAAAGAUUAUGCCAAUUUAUAUUUCCAAUAUAUUUAGUUUCCAUUUCUGGAAUUUGUUAAAUAUUAAACUUGUAAUAUAUGUUUGUUAUUAAUUACCUGCUCUGUCUAUAGGCAUACCUCAGAUAUUGUGGGUUCAGACUAUCACAAUAAAGCUAAUAACAUAAUAAAGCAAGUCACCUGAGUCUUUUGGUUUCCCCAUGCAUAUAAAAGUUAUAUUUGCACUGCACUGUAGUCUAUUAAGUGUACAGUAGCAUUAUGUCUAAGAAAGACAAUGUACACACUUUAAAAAUACUUUAUUGCUAAAAAAGGCUAACAGUCAUCUGAGCCUUCAUUAAGCUGUAAUCUUUCUGCUGGUGGAGGGUCUUGCCUCAGUUGAUGGCUGCUGACUGAUCAGGGUGGGAGUUGCUGAAGGUUGGGUGGCUGUGGCAAUUUCUUAAAAUAAGACAACAAUGAAAUUUGCUGCAUUGAUGGACUUUCCCUUUCAUAAAAGAUUUUUCUGUAGCAUGUGAUAGUGUUUAAUAGCGUUUUAUCCAUAGGCAGAACUUCUUCUAAAAUUGGAGUCAGUCCUCUCAAACCCUGCUUUAUCAACCGAGUUUAUGUAACAUCCUGAAUUCUUUGUUGUCAUUUCAGCAGUGUUCACAGCAUCUUCACCAGGAGUAAAUUUCAACUCAGGAAACCACUUUCUUUGCUCAUCAGUAAGAAGCAAUUCCUCAUUAAAUUUGAGUGUUAUAUGGACAAGUUUCAUGGCACCCCAAUUACAAUAGUAUCAUUAAAGAUCACUAUCACAGAUCACCAUAACAAAUAUAAUAAAAUGUUUGAAAUAUUGUGACAGUUAUCAAAAUGUGACAUAGAGAUAAGAAGUGAGCAGAUGCAGUUGGAAAAAUGGUGCCGGUAGACUUGCUAGAUGCAGAGUUGCCACAGACCUUCAUUUAAAAAAAAAAAAAAAAAAAAAAAAAAAAAAAAUGUAGUAUCUGAAAAGCCCAAUAAAGCAAGGUAUGCCUGUAUCUUCUGUAAGUUGUUUCUGUUGGCUCUUGUUUUUCUGUUGUCAACUUAGUAUAUUUUAUAUCAAUUUUUGAAUUAUUUUCUAUUGAAAAUGAACAUUCUAUCAUAUUUGUGGGAAACUUUCCAUUUUUUUGCCUUAUUUUUAAUGUCCUACCUGUACUGCCAAAUGUUAACUGGUAAGUCUUUAGUUGCUGUAAUGAUGUAAUAAUAGGGGUAAGUUCAUUAUUAGUAAAAGUUUUUAGUAUUUUAUAAA